AUUUCAUAACAGAAUUUUAGAUUAGAUGUCAUUUUCCUCCAUAAUUUUGUAUUGAUGGCCACAUUUUCUCAAUGACUUUUUAUCAAUCCUGUGUUUAGAACCUUUUCUUUCUCUCCCUCUCUUUUCUCGCUCUAAAAUCAUCUUGUUUAUAAUGAUCUAAAAUUCACAGUGACAUGAUGCAUUCUGAGGAAUCGAACUCAGGACCUUGCACCUGUGAGGCAGGUGGUUGAAACCAUUGAGCUAAAUCCCUGACCCUGGAAUUUACAUUUUGAUAGGCUCCUUUUAGUGCUGUACCUGCACUAUAGGUUAUGGAGUGAUCCUCUCCCAACAGAGGUUAUGGAGUGAUCUCGUCUGCAGAGGAGAAGGACAAAAAGGCAGAGGAAUCCCUCAUUUCAAAAGAGAUUAAGGAGUUGUGAAAACAGUAUCAAAUUUUGUAGAAAAGCCGCACUAUCAGAGAACAGUAUGUUGAAUGAGCAGAUUUGCACCAGGGAAAGGAAAAUGGCAUGCGCAUUGAAGGCAUUGGGUUUAGGAAUUUAAAGUGUUGUACCAGUCUUUGGAAGUCUCUUAUCAGGGCUUCCAGAGCACGACUGACAAUGUGAUAGGGUGCUGAGUCAUGUCAACUUGUAUUUACUGUGUGUGUCCUAUCCCAUAAUUCACUCUGUUAUAAUUGGAUGUGUGAAAUACGGUCCUUCAAUAUGCAUGAAUCUUCAAGGCAUUCCAGGUGAAGAAAGGUUUCUGUAGGCCAUGCAGGAGGAUUUGGCAGAAAUGUGUCCUGGUUAGGGAUUUGGGGAAUUUUUUAGGGCAGCCUCCGGGGUCUUUGUUUUUCUCAUCCCUGCCUCCAGAGAAUGGGCCUCAGGACAAAGGGGAAGGGGGUAAUGACACUUGAUCCUGGUUGCCCAGGUUCAGGUGAGUGGAAGGGAAGUUGUCCAUUGUAUAGUGUGAUAAUUUGAUAUGAAUGUAUACAAUGUGUGAUGAUCAAAUCAGGUGGCUAAUACUUCUAUUUCCUACAUUUUAAAAAUUUUGGACUAACACAUAGUACAGUAAUUGUACAUAUUGAUGAAGUACAGUAGGAUAUUUCAGUGCAUGUGUUCAAUAUGUAUUAAUGAAAUUUGGGUAAUU
ensembl:lncRNA